GCAAGUCGAGCGAGAAAGGCCUUCGGGUCGAGUAAAGCGGCGGACGGGUUAGUAACGCGUGGGAAUGUACCCUUUUCUACGGAAUAGCCAUUGGAAACGAUGAGUAAUACCGUAUACGCCCUUUGGGGGAAAGAUUUAUCGGAGAAGGAUCAGCCCGCGUUAGAUUAGAUAGUUGGUGGGGUAAUGGCCUACCAAGUCUACGAUCUAUAGCUGGUUUUAGAGGAUGAUC
rnacentral:rRNA from 1 species